GCUUAGAAGACAAGCACUGAGUAAAAUGCUCCCAGUCCCAGGGUGGAAGGGCAAGAAGUAAGCUUCUGCCUUUAUAUCUUCAUUACAACUCCUGUAGGAUUCACCAUGACCUCCAUUAAUGAGGUCCUUUAUUUCAGGGGUCAGCAAGCCUCAGCCCACUGCCUGUUUCUGUAAAUAAAGUUUUAUUGGGACACAGCCACAUUCGUUCAUUUACGUGUUAUUUAUGGCUGCGUUUAACUCUACAGCUGGAGCUCAGUAGUGGUAAUGGACCGUAUGGUCUGCAGAGCCUGAAAUGUAUUCUCUCUGGCCCUUUACAGAGGACAGUUGCCUACCCCAGCUUUAUGUUAUAAAUAGAUGACUAACUUUGAGUUGUUUGUCCAUGAGAAUCACCAUUUGCACCACCCCGUGAAGUUUUUGAAAUGAACGCCCCAUGUUUUUCAUGGGGCAUAUUUGCAAGAUGACUUUCUGGAACCAGUGGUAUGGUCUGGGAUUCAGGCUCUGAAAACACACUCUGACCAUCUGAGCUGCUUUUGA